rnacentral:rRNA from 1 species
GAUGAACGCUGGCGGCGUGCCUAAUACAUGCAAGUCGAGCGAACAGACGAGGAGCUUGCUCCUCUGACGUUAGCGGCGGACGGGUGAGUAACACGUGGAUAACCUACCUAUAAGACUGGGAUAACUUCGGGAAACCGGAGCUAAUACCGGAUAACAUGUUGAACCGCAUGGUUCAACAGUGAAAGACGGUCUUGCUGUCACUUAUAGAUGGAUCCGCGCCGCAUUAGCUAGUUGGUAAGGUAACGGCUUACCAAGGCAACGAUGCGUAGCCGACCUGAGAGGGUGAUCGGCCACACUGGAACUGAGACACGGUCCAGACUCCUACGGGAGGCAGCAGUAGGGAAUCUUCCGCAAAGGGCGAAAGCCUGACGGAGCAACGCCGCGUGAGCGAAGAAGGUCUUCGGAUCGUAAAACUCUGUUAUUAGGGAAGAACAAAUGUGUAAGUAACUAUGCACGUCUUGACGGUACCUAAUCAGAAAGCCACGGCUAACUACGUG